AUCAAAUUAGGGCUGGCAUUAAGAAUAUUACUUAAAAAAAAAAAAAAAAAAAAAGAACUGUUAUUAGCAAAAUUAAGAAGGCGUUUGUUUCUCAUUUUUGCAAAAAUUUGAAUGAAAAAUAUGGUCGUCAUGGGCCCCACACAAUAGAUGAAAAUUUAAAUUUGGUGACUUGAUGUGAUGGAUAAUGAUUAUAUUUUUAUUUUAAUGGAGAAAGAAUGAGAAACAAACAGGGGUUUAGUUCAUAAAUCUGGGAAACUUUUUACAGAGGCAACUUUUUCUACUUCAAAACACUUGCAUUUUGCUAUAAAUAACCAAUAAUUUAUUGAAAAAUAUUAUUUGCAAUUGCUCACUAAUGAAGUUGUCCUAUGUGGCAUACAUGCAUCAAAUCACUAACCGUCACAUUAUGCCAUACAUCAAAUCAUUUACUACUACAUAUAUAUCAUGCGGGGUGACUACAGUACUGAACAGCUGCAAAUAGUAUUAUUUUAAUUUAAUUUAAAGCCUCUUUUGAGGAAAG
rnacentral:lncRNA from 1 species